AAAAUUAAUGUAGUAGCAUGCUUGCCUAGUACGCAUGAGGCCCUGGGUUUAAUUCCCAGUAGUGUUA
rnacentral:tRNA from 1 species